AUUGCAUCACAAUCUGUUCUUAAAGUAAUUUCUUUUUUAGAAAUAAUAAAUAAUUCAAAUGAAUCUAAUGCAUAAUUUACUGCAAGUAAUUCUAAAUCUAUGCUACUUAUAUUACCUUUUUCUUUAUAAUUUCCACUAUUAUAUCUUACUAUUUUUUCAGUAUCUUUAUCUGAGUAUUUAUUGGGUUUUGCAAUAAGUAUUGCCCCCCCAUCCUGUUAUACUACCAUCUGUCUCAAUAAUUAAGUAAUCUGUUUCUAAUGGCAUAGAUAAUUUAGGCAAAUCUUUUAAUUUUUCUUUUAUUUUUUGAACUAAUUUAACAUCUUCUAUAUUAAAGUAUCUUUGACCUUUUGGUGAAGUUUUCCCAUAUAAAGGUCCUGCAAUUUUUCCUAAAUUCUUAAUAAAAGGUCUAGCAUAAUUAACAAGUCCUAAAAACUUUUGUAAUUGUUUAAUAUCUUCAAGUUUAUCUGGAAAUUCUAAAGCUUUCUGAGCUAUAUGAGGUUGUAAUUCUAUUUUUCCCC
rnacentral:lncRNA from 1 species